UGUGAAAAGGAACAUUUGUACUUCUGGGA
rnacentral:piRNA from 1 species